GCCCGCCCAGGCCACGCCCAACCCUGCUCAGGGCCACACCACCCCAGCCAAAAGGCCGGCCCAGAGCAAGGGAGCCGCAGAAUCCAGCAUUGGUCUCAAGGCAGCCAGUUCGUCCGCCUGUCUGUCCAUCCUCGGAGUCAUGGAGAGAGCCAGUCUGAUCCAGAAGGCCAAGUUGGCCGAACAGGCCGAACGCUACGAAGACAUGGCAGCUUUCAUGAAGAGUGCCGUGGAAAAGGGUGAGGAGCUCUCCUGCGAGGAGCGGAACCUGCUCUCCGUGGCCUACAAGAACGUGGUGGGCGGCCAGAGAGCGGCCUGGAGAGUCCUGUCCAGCAUCGAGCAGAAGAGCAACGAGGAGGGGUCUGAAGAGAAGGGCCCCGAGGUGAAAGAGUACCGGGAGAAGGUAGAGACCGAGCUCAGAGGUGUGUGCGACACCGUGCUAGGCUUGCUGGACUCCCACCUCAUCAAAGGGGCUGGAGAGGCUGAGAGCCGCGUCUUCUACCUGAAGAUGAAGGGUGACUACUACCGCUACCUAGCUGAGGUGGCCACUGGUGAUGACAAGAAGCGCAUCAUCGAUUCUGCCCGGUCAGCCUACCAGGAGGCCAUGGACAUCAGCAAGAAGGAGAUGCCGCCCACCAACCCCAUACGCCUGGGCCUGGCCCUGAACUUUUCCGUCUUCCACUACGAGAUAGCCAACAGCCCCGAGGAGGCCAUCUCACUUGCCAAGACCACCUUCGACGAGGCCAUGGCCGAUCUGCACACCCUCAGUGAGGACUCCUACAAGGACAGCACCCUCAUCAUGCAGCUGCUGAGAGACAACCUGACGCUGUGGACAGCCGACAAUGCUGGGGAAGAGGGUGGCGAGGCUCCAGAGGAGCCCCAGAGCUGAAGCAGCCUACAUCCUCCCUGUCCCGCCUUGCCCUCCAGUCCCCAGCCUGCAGAGAGGACUUAAACGGAGUAGGACUCUGCCCCUCCCAAACCCUGAAUGUUUUGCCACACUUGGAAGGCUCCUUGGAUGGGGUGCAGCCAAGCUGAGGCCACCAGGGCUGGGGAAUCUCACUCUUCGUGCAGCUGUGUGGUGGGUGUUCCCAACCCUGGCCACCCCCUGCUCUCUGCACCUCCACUUCCUACCACCACUCCUGAGCCUGUGUCCUCCCUCUGUGCCUUCCUCGGGCACCUGUUGCUUCUGGAUCCUAGGAGUCGAGGCUCCCCACCCCUGUGGCUGAGAACUGGACUGUGGCAAGGGCUGGGUGUGUGUGUGUGAGUGUGUGCGAGUGUGCGUGCGUGAAUGAGAGGGAACACGUUUACUGGGUGUGACCAUGUUACCACUCAAUAAAGUUGCCCUGUGACACUC
rnacentral:lncRNA from 1 species